rnacentral:rRNA from 1 species
GACAGUUCGGUCCCUAUCUGCCGUGGGCGCUGGAGAAUUGAGGGGGGCUGCUCCUAGUACGAGAGGACCGGAGUGGACGCAUCACUGGUGUUCGGGUUGUCAUGCCAAUGGCACUGCCCGGUAGCUAAAUGCGGAAGAGAUAAGUGCUGAAAGCAUCUAAGCACGAAACUUGCCCCGAGAUGAGUUCUCCCUGACUCCUUGAGAGUCCUGAAGGAACGUUGAAGACGACGACGUUGAUAGGCCGGGUGUGUAAGCGCAGCGAUGCGUUGAGCUAACCGGUACUAAUGAACCGUGAGGCUUAACCUU